rnacentral:rRNA from 1 species
UACGGAGGGUGCAAGCGUUGUCCGGAUUUAUUGGGUUUAAAGGGUGCGUAGGCGGCCGAUUAAGUCUGGGGUGAAAGCCCGUUGCUCAACAACGGAACUGCCCUGGAAACUGGUCGGCUUGAGUACAGACGAGGGUGGGCGGAAUGGAUGCUGUAGCGGUGAAAUGCAUAGAUAGCAUCCAGAACCCCGAUUGCGAAGGCAGCUGCCUAGACUGUAACUGACGCUGAGGCACGAAAAGCGUGGGGAGCGAACAGG